rnacentral:rRNA from 1 species
CGAUACUCUAAAAACUCUACUUCGCGACUCGGCCUCCUUUAAACAUUUUAAAACUUUCAACAACGGAUCUCUUGGCUCUCGCAUCGAUGAAGAACGCAGCGAAAUGCGAUAAGAAUGGAAUUGCAGAAUUCAGGAAUCAUCGAAUCUUUGAACGCACAUUGCGCCCUUUGGCAUUCCAUAGGGCAUGCCUGUUCGAGCGUCACUAACAACCCCAUCACAAAGAGUGUGGUAUUGGCAGAAGUGGGUAGGGCUGGCAGUGCUGGCCCCACUCUGCUGGAAUGAAUAGGCCGGAAAUGUAACCAUGGGACAGACUUUCAGAGUAUCUCGAUGCUAAAUUAGAGGCCGGCAGAAUCCGGUGUUGGACCCCCAUUCUGCGUAAAGCAAAUGUUGACCUCGGAUCAGGAGGGAUACCCGCUGAACUUAAGAAGUUAAGCUCAUUC